CCUACACAUGCAGUCGAACGGCAGCACAGAAGAGCUUGCUCUUUGGGUGGCGAGUGGCGGACGGGUGAGUAAUGUCUGGGAAACUGCCCGAUGGAGGGGGAUAACUACUGGAAACGGUAGCUAAUACCGCAUAACGUCGCAAGACCAAAGUGGGGGACCUUCGGGCCUCACACCAUCGGAUGUGCCCAGAUGGGAUUAGCUAGUAGGUGGGGUAAUGGCUCACCUAGGCGACGAUCCCUAGCUGGUCUGAGAGGAUGACCAGCCACACUGGAACUGAGACACGGUCCAGACUCCUACGGGAGGCAGCAGUGGGGAAUAUUGCACAAUGGGCGCAAGCCUGAUGCAGCCAUGCCGCGUGUAUGAAGAAGGCCUUCGGGUUGUAAAGUACUUUCAGCGGGGAGGAAGGCGGUGAGGUUAAUAACCUUGCCGAUUGACGUUACCCGCAGAAGAAGCACCGGCUAACUCCGUGCCAGCAGCCGCGGUAAUACGGAGGGUGCAAGCGUUAAUCGGAAUUACUGGGCGUAAAGCGCACGCAGGCGGUCUGUUAAGUCAGAUGUGAAAUCCCCGGGCUUAACCUGGGAACUGCAUUUGAAACUGGCAGGCUUGAGUCUCGUAGAGGGGGGUAGAAUUCCAGGUGUAGCGGUGAAAUGCGUAGAGAUCUGGAGGAAUACCGGUGGCGAAGGCGGCCCCCUGGACGAAGACUGACGCUCAGGUGCGAAAGCGUGGGGAGCAAACAGGAUUAGAUACCCUGGUAGUCCACGCCGUAAACGAUGUCGACUUGGAGGUUGUGCCCUUGAGGCGUGGCUUCCGGAGCUAACGCGUUAAGUCGACCGCCUGGGGAGUACGGCCGCAAGGUUAAAACUCAAAUGAAUUGACGGGGGCCCGCACAAGCGGUGGAGCAUGUGGUUUAAUUCGAUGCAACGCGAAGAACCUUACCUGGCCUUGACAUCCAGAGAACUUAGCAGAGAUGCUUUGGUGCCUUCGGGAACUCUGAAACAGGUGCUGCAUGGCUGUCCUCAGCUCCUGUUGUGAAAUGUUGGGGUUAAGUCCCGCAACGAGCGCAACCCUUAUCCUUUGUUGCCGGC
rnacentral:rRNA from 1 species